rnacentral:rRNA from 1 species
GAUGAACGCUGGCGGCGUGCCUACUACAUGCAAGUCGAGCGGAGCGGGGACGGGUGAGUAACACGUGGAUAACCUCCUAUAAGACUGGGAUAACUUCGGGAAACCGGGGCUAUACGGGAAACUUAUAGAUGGAUACGCGUUACAUUAGCUAGUUGGUAAGUUAACGGCGUACAAAGGCAACGAGGCAUAGCCGAACUGGGAGGGUGAUCGGCCACACUGGAACUGAGACACGGUCCAGACUCCUACGGGAGGCAGCAGUAGGGAAUCUUCCGCAAGGGGCGAAAGCCUGACGGAGCAACGCCGAGUGAGGGAUGAAGGUCUGCGGAUCGUAAAACUCUGUUAUUAGGGAAGCGGUACCUAAUCAGAAAGCAACGGCUAACUACGUGCCAGCAGCCGCGGUAAUAC